rnacentral:rRNA from 1 species
GACGAACGCUGGCGGCGUGCUUAACACAUGCAAGUCGAACGGAAAGGCCCUGCUUUUGUGGGGUGCUCGAGUGGCGAACGGGUGAGUAACACGUGAGUAACCUGCCCUUGACUUUGGGAUAACUUCAGGAAACUGGGGCUACUACCGGAUAGGAGCUCCUGCUGCAUGGUGGGGGUUGGAACGUUUCGGCGGUUGGGGAUGGACUCGCGGCUUAUCAGCUUGUUGGUGGGGUAGUGGCUUACCAAGGCUUUGACGGGUAGCCGGCCUGAGAGGGUGACCGGCCACAUUGGGACUGAGGUACGGCCCAGACUCCUACGGGAGGCAGCAGUGGGGAAUAUUGCACAAUGGGCGGAAGCCUGAUGCAGCAACGCCGCGUGCGGGAUGACGGCCUUCGGGUUGUAAACCGCUUUCGCCUGUGACGAAGCGGGAGUGACGGUAAUGGGUAAAGAAGCACCGGCUAACUACGUG